UCAAGAUGAAGGCCAUGCGCCGCUUCCUGGAAGAAGGCGACAAGGUGAAGGUCACCAUGCGCUUCCGUGGCCGUGAAAUGGCCCACCAGGAUAUCGGCAUGAAUGUGCUGGUAAAGGUUCGCGACACGCUGGAAGACCUGGGCAAGGUCGAACAGAUGCCGAAGCUGGAAGGCAAGCAGAUGAUCAUGGUUCUGGCCCCGCGCUAAGAAACCGCUGAUCCGGCUUGCUGGUGCGACGUAAUGAACAGGCCGUCCGGGCAACCGGGCGGC
rnacentral:misc_RNA from 2 species